GAUGAACGCUGGCGGCGUGCCUAACACAUGCAAGUCGAACGGAGCUGCUUUGAUGAAGUUUUCGGAUGGAUUUAAAGCAGCUUAGUGGCGGACGGGUGAGUAACGCGUGGGUAACCUGCCUCACACUGGGGGAUAACAGUUAGAAAUAGCUGCUAAUACCGCAUAAGCGCACGGUUCCGCAUGGAACAGUGUGAAAAAACUCCGGUGGUGUGAGAUGGACCCGCGUCUGAUUAGCCAGUUGGCGGGGUAAACGGCCCACCAAAGCGACGAUCAGUAGCCGGCCUGAGAGGGUGAACGGCCACAUUGGGACUGAGACACGGCCCAAAACUCCUACGGGAGCAGCAGUGGGGAAUAGUUGCACGAAUGGGGGAAACCCUGAUGCAGCGACGCGCGUGAGUGAAGAAG
rnacentral:rRNA from 1 species